rnacentral:lncRNA from 1 species
AAAAUCAGCCAGCAAGUGAAAAAUCAUAAUAGAAGUGAACCACACUUCAUAAACACUUUUAGGAUCAUGUACACUAUCAUUAAUCUGAAUUGGGUUCUUGAAUUCAAACACAUUUGUGGAACGGUAUACAUUCAUUCAUUUUAUUCUUUGCAAUUAUCAUUCGCCAUUACCUUCUCCUCCCGAAACUCCAACCACCUAAAAAUAAUCAAUACUAUACCGUACUAUGACCAUUAGGCUGCCCCCAGUACAUAUCAACUGUAAUCAUAGCAAAUAUCGGGAUUGGCCCAUGCUAGGCUUAAGCCCCUGAGCUACCACCCACACGUAUAUCAAGUAACACACAUAAGAGAUCUUUCCAAUAACUUAGUUCAAAAGCUUUUGAGAUUAUUACAUUAGUGUUCAUGCCAAUAUAGUACCGUUGGAAUAAUGAUACAUCAAUAGGAACCAAGUAAUAGACUUUCUAUACAAUAACGAUGUAAUAAAGACUCAUUGGUACAUCAACAAUGUGUUUCGGAAUCAUCAAUAUCACAACAAUGAAAUAGGAGCCUUUCGGUAUAUCAAUGAAACAUUUUGACACUUUAUAGAAUGGAAACAACUUCGUUGGUAAUGUAGAACAAUACAUGUUUUUGGACAACCUCGGAAUCUUACUUGAUGGAACAUUGGUGUUUUCAUGCCAAAGAACAUCGUUAGAGUAUGCUUUACAUACCUCGUUGUAGAUUCGGAUACCAAUUCAACACAACUUCCCGCCUUUACAAAUCACUUAUCUACAAUGAAAUGUUUGGCAUCUAGUAUUAGCAACCCAACACCACAAUUCUCUUCCAUAAU